rfam:Nicotiana attenuata strain TT chromosome 8, whole genome shotgun sequence.
UGGACAGAUUAUUGUAUUCACCGCGUGAAAUAGGGGAUUACACUAUUUUUAAAACGGAAAGUGAAUCAAUUAACAUAAUAGACUCCU